rnacentral:rRNA from 1 species
UCCGAAGGGGGCUAGCGUUGUUCGGAUUUACUGGGCGUAAAGCGCGUGUAGGUGGCUUUAUAAGUCAGGGGUGAAAGCCCAGAGCUUAACUCUGGAAUUGCCUUUGAUACUGUAGAGCUAGAGUCUUGGAGAGGAAAGCAGAAUUCCGAGUGUAGAGGUGAAAUUCGUAGAUAUUCGGAGGAACACCGGUGGCGAAGGCGGCUUUCUGGACAAGCACUGACACUGAGACGCGAAAGCGUGGGGAGAAAACAGG